UCAUAUGCUUGUCUCAAAGAUUAAGCCAUGCAUGUCUAAGUACAUGCCGCAUUAAGGUGAAACCGCGAAUGGCUCAUUAAAUCAGUUAUGGUUCCUUAGAUCGUACCAAUCCUACUUGGAUAACUGUGGUAAUUCUAGAGCUAAUACAUGCCGAUAAAGCUCCGAUCCCUCGCGGGAGACGAGCGCUUUUAUUAGAACAAGACCAAUACGGGCCAAUCGAAACCGGGGUUCGGGAAUUGCGAGGCGUCAAAAACCUCGCUCUUCUUCCCGGCGUAGAACCCGUCUCAAAAACUUGGUGACUCUGGUUAACUUUGAGCUGAUCGCACGGUCCUCGCACCGGCGACGCGUCUUUCAAAUGUCUGACUUAUCAACUGUCGAUGGUAGGUUAUGCGCCUACCAUGGUUGUAACGGGUAACGGAGAAUCAGGGUUCGAUUCCGGAGAGGGAGCCUGAGAAACGGCUACCACAUCCAAGGAAGGCAGCAGGCACGCAAAUUACCCACUCCCGGCACGGGGAGGUAGUGACGAAAAAUAACAAUACGGGACUCUUCCGAGGCCUCGUAAUUGGAAUGAGCACACUUUAAAACCUUUAGCGAGGAUCUAUUGGAGGGCAAGUCUGGUGCCAGCAGCCGCGGUAAUUCCAGCUCCAAUAGCGUAUAUUAAAGUUGUUGCGGUUAAAAAGCUCGUAGUUGGAUCUCGGUGCCGGACCGACGGUCCGCCCUUCGUUUGGCGGUACACUGUCGGCCCCGGAGCCAUCAACCCGCCGGCCUUGUCCCUCGAUGCUCUUUACCGAGUGUCGUGCGGCGACCGGAACGUUUACUUUGAACAAAUUAGAGUGCUCAAGGCAGGCGCAGUCCCCGCCCGCAUAGCCCAGCAUGGAAUAAUGGAAUAGGACCUCGGUUCUAUUUUGUUGGUUUUCGGAACCCGAGGUAAUGAUUAAUAGGGACAGACGGGGGCAUUCGUAUUGCGGCGCUAGAGGUGAAAUUCUUGGACCGCCGCAAGACGAACUACUGCGAAAGCAUUUGCCAAGAAUGUUUUCAUUAAUCAAGAACGAAAGUUAGAGGUUCGAAGGCGAUCAGAUACCGCCCUAGUUCUAACCAUAAACGAUGCCGACCAGCGAUCCGCCGGAGUUCCUCCGAUGACUCGGCGGGCAGCUUCCGGGAAACCAAAAGUUUUUGGGUUCCGGGGGAAGUAUGGUUGCAAAGCUGAAACUUAAAGGAAUUGACGGAAGGGCACCACCAGGAGUGGAGCCUGCGGCUUAAUUUGACUCAACACGGGGAAACUCACCCGGCCCGGACACUGGAAGGAUUGACAGAUUGAGAGCUCUUUCUUGAUUCGGUGGUUGGUGGUGCAUGGCCGUUCUUAGUUGGUGGAAAUUUGAUUUGUCUGGUUGAUUCCGAUAACGAACGAGACUCUAGCCUGCUAAAUAGCUGAUCCAUACCAUCGGUGCGCCGUUACCUCGCCUUCGCGAUCCGACGCGUCUCCGAGUUCGGUUCUUUCAUCCCCCGUCGGCUUUCCGCCGCUUAGGCCCGUCGUUUUCUACCGAGGCUUUGGGCGUCCGCUCGCGCACUCUCACGGGUGCGUGGCGGCGUUUCUCUACCGAGGUGGGCGUCGGGUACGGCGGUGCGUUUACCGGUCGGGACCAGGUGUUUGGCCGCUUGGGUCAAAGGCGUUGCCGGUGAUGUUGGUGAGAGUCGGCCUCCGGAGUGGGUCACUCGCUUCUUAGAGGGACAAGCGGCGUAUAGCCGCACGAGAUUGAGCAAUAACAGGUCUGUGAUGCCCUUAGAUGUCCGGGGCCGCACGCGCGCUACAAUGAAACGGUGAGCAGGUCGCUUGCCCUAGUCCGAGAGGACCGGGUAACCCUGUGAAUCCCUUUCUUGGUUGGGAUCGGGGCUUGAAACCAACCCCGCGAACUAGGAAUUCCUAGUAUGCGCGAGUCAUCAACUUGCGUAGACUACGUCCCUGCCCUUUGUACACACCGCCCGUCGCUACUACCGAUUGAAUGAUUUAGUGAGAUCUUCGGACUGGCGUUCGCGGCGGCCCUCGGGUCGCUGCGGAGUGCCGGGAAGAUGACCAAACUUGACCAUUUAGAGGAAGUAAAAGUCGUAACAAGGUUUCC
rnacentral:rRNA from 2 species